UACAGAGACUGCAAGCGUUAUUCGGAUUCACUGGGCGUAAAGGGUGCGCAGGCGGCCGUGUGUGUGAGGCGUGAAAGCCUGGAGCUUAACUCCAGAAUUGCACCUCAAACUACACGGCUAGAGCAUUGGAGAGGGUAGCGGAAUUCACGGUGUAGCAGUGAAAUGCGUAGAUAUCGUGAGGAACACCAGAGGCGAAGGCGGCUACCUGGACAAUUGCUGACGCUCAGGCACGAAAGCGUGGGGAGCGAACCGG
rnacentral:rRNA from 1 species